GAAGAGGGCGCACAGGCAGUGGGGGUAGACGCGAAACCAAGUGAUCUACACUUGGCCAGGAUGAAGUCCCGGUAACACGGGAUGGAGGUCCGCACCAAUAAGCGUUGAAAAGCUUCUGGAUGAGCCGAGUGUAGGAGUGAAAGGCCAAUCAAACUUGGAGAUAGCUCGUACUCCCCGAAAGGCAUUUAGGUGCCGCGUCGGAUGGUCACCGUGAGAGGUAGAGCGACCGAUAGGACAAGAGGGCUUCACCGCCUAUCGAGUCCUGACGAACUCCGAAUGCUCACGGUCUGCAGUCCGGCAGUAAGGGGGCGGGUGCUAAGGUCCGUCCCCGAGAGGAGAAGAAUCCAGACCGCCGUCUAAGGUCCCGGAGUUCUGCCUGAGUUAGUCUAACGAAGUCUGGUCCCUAUGACAGCUAGGAUGUUGGCUUGGAAGCAGCCAUUCAUUCAAAGAGUGCGUAACAGCUCACUAGUCGAGGGUCCGGGCAUGGAUAAUAAUCGGGUAUAAGGCAGACACCGAAGGCGCGGGAUAGCAUUUAAGAAAGUAUCGGUAGGGGAGCAUACUCACAGCGUCGAAUGGUGUACGUAAGUUAUCCUGGAGCGGUGAGUAAAGCAAAUGUAGGAAUAAGUAACGAUAAGGAGGGUUAGAUUCCCUCCCGCUGUAAGACCAAGGUUUCCCGGGCAAUGCCAAUCAGCCCGGGGUCAGUCGGGUCCUAAGUCUAAGCCGAACGGCGAUGGCGAUGGCAGAGACGGUUAAUAUUCCGUCACUGCCGCAUGGGGCGACGUGGAGACGGAGCAGUGAAACCACCGCGGGGCGACGGAAGUCCCCGUUGAAGAGUGUAGGUGUUGAGGAUGGCAGGCAAAUCCAUCGUCCGAGCUGAACUUGAUAGUAUGGAGUCUUCUUCGGAAGAAUCCAAUAGUGUGGGUAAUCAUACUCCCGAGAAAAUCCGCUAAGCUUAACCCAUGCGGCACCCGUACCGCAAACGGACACACGUGGUCGGGUAGAACAUACUAAGGCGUUGAGAGAUUCAUGGUUAAGGAACUAGGCAAAUUGACCCUGUAACUUCGGGAUAAAGGGUCCUCGUGAUGAGCGAGGCGCAGAGAAUAGGUCCAGGCAACUGUUUAACAAAAACACAGGGCUGUGCAAACUCGAAAGAUGACGUAUACAGCCUGACACCUGCCCGGUGCCGGAAGGUUAAGAGGAGAUGUCACUCGCAAGAGGAAGCAUUGAAUUGAAGCCCCGGUAAACGGCGGCCGUAACUAUAACGGUCCUAAGGUAGCGAAAUUCCUUGUCGGGU
rnacentral:rRNA from 1 species